AAACUAACCAUGCAUCGCAUGAAUCAUCGAGGGACUACUUUCUCAGCAGAAGCGGAAUUCUACUAUGCGCUGGUUAGGUUUGUAACCGAAUCACGACAGAAGAACGUAAACAGAGAAGCGUGGGACAGAAGCGCAAUUGAUGUGUGGGAAUCUCGAUUGCAUAAUUUCUGGUAGUGGGGGACUGCGUUCGCGCUCUCCCCUG
ensembl:snRNA U1 U1 spliceosomal RNA